rnacentral:tRNA from 1 species
GCCAGAGUGCUGAAAUGGUAGACAGGCACGGUUUAGGACCGUGUGCCGCAAAAGGCGUGAGGGUUCAAAUCCCUCCUCUGGCA